CCCGGGCCUUGUACACACCGCCCGUCACACCAUGGGAGUUGGUUUUACCCGAAGGUGGUGUGCUAACCGCAAGGAGGCAGCUAACCACGGUAGGGUCAGCGACUGGGGUG
rnacentral:rRNA from 1 species